GUUCAAUAAUGACUCCACGUCCCAAGUGAUCUGUGCCGCUCUCUCAUCUACACCGCGGGUGCCACACCCUUCCGUAGCUGAGGGUUUCAUGUCCUCUCCCUCCUUGCUUCUGCCUUAUCAAAACCUGGUCUCAGAAAAAGAAAGUCUGUUCCCAGUCAAUGAGUAUAAUUUUGUUUAAAUGUCAUUGCCCCUUUUCCUCUUUGAGUUAGGCAAUUCAGUUUCCUCUUUGAGUUAGGUUUGGUAAAAAGUUUUGUCUCCUGUGUAAAUAAUUUAGCUGUAUGCUAACUGGAGGAGCUACCAAGUGUACCAGUGGUGGCCACUUACUGCAUUCAGUGAGGGCCUCCUCUUUCCACUCCCUUCGUGACUAAGAGUGAGGGAAUCAGAGGUGACUCACAUUAGGCCUUUACUGUAUAUCUCAGUAUACUUAAGAAUGUUGACCUUAACCUCGGCAAGGGCGGAGAGACGCAUGGUCCACAGCAGCGCAUCUCCAGAGCCUGGACCGAGCUGAGAGCAUGCAGAGCCUCCAUAACUGGUCAGAGGAACUGAACUCCCGGCCCCAAAAAACCCUAUACACAGCAAAGGAGAGGCAUAGAUGGGAGGUAACCUCUUCUUAGAAACAGCAAAAUGAUGUGCAAAAGAGACAGAGACAUCCUACAAAACUCUAUUUACUUUUCUCAUAUUUGAGGGGAAAAAAACCAUUCAGAAACCCUUCCCUGAAAAUUAAGGCCUGGACCCAAGUGGAGAUGGAAACCUUUGAUUCCAACUGACCCUACUGCUGUGUUCACAAGGACAGGACCACGUGAUUACUCCGGGAUCCCUGAACACACAGCCCUUGGCCUGAGGAAUGAUCCAAUUGUAGCUUCCCUGACCUGACCUCAAGAAAGAUGCAAUCCUCCUGUAUGACAUCAAAGCUUCGUUUGCUCCCACAGCUCUCACCCGCGACUUCCCUAACUCCCAAGGCUUCCCCUAAGCUGUGGAGGACUUCAGCAGGCUAAGGUGUGGGUGCCUGGCAUUCAGCUUUGCUUCAACCUGGAAGUGCAGAUGAGUUAACAUCCCCAGGAGGAAAUCUUGACCCAUAGGGAAUGAGAGCUGAUGCAUAAUACCGCUAUCCAUCUAUUCAGCAGACAAUCCUGAGGCCCAUUCUAAUGGCUUCUCAGAAGAAUCUAGUUAGAUCAAAUUCUAAUUACCCAUAAUGGUGAGCAACUUAGUAAUCUCACCUGUAUUGGUUUUCCCUCUUUCUCUGGUUCACUCUACUCUGUUAUCUAUUAUUGCUACCUGGGAUCACAUCUCUGAUCUAACUAUUUGCAUACAAGCCUUGUCUUAGCUCUGUUUUCUGAGAGGGACUCAGGUUAAGAUGUAUAGUGAUGUCAAAUAAUCAUAAUACAAUAAAGAGUGUUUCAAAUUUGAGUAAUAUGAACCUUCUCUUACUAUUCUCUUCUGGGAAACAAAAUCCAAAUAAAAUAUUCUUCACUUUAUAAAUUAAAAAGCAAAGAAAUGUCUGAAAUUCUCUUUUCCCUGUUGUUGCAUAGAAGACUCACUUAGGGAAGAGUGUGAAUUUCUUCUUUAGCAAGUUUAUUCUAAACCAUCAUCCAGUAGGAUGGAUAUGAUUUUGUUAACAACGCCAGAGUUGAAUUAAUCCAACAUUCUGCUGUAGUUACUUCAUAUUUCCUUUA
rnacentral:lncRNA from 10 species